rnacentral:misc_RNA from 1 species
AAGUCGUAACAAGGUUUCCGUAGGUGAACCUGCGGAAGGAUCAUUAGUAAAAAGUUAAUCCUUGAUGGAUUCUUUCCUUUUGUGAUGUAUUGACAAUUAUGAAUUUGGGCUUAAAGAUGUCUCAUUGUCUCAUUGUGGACGGCCCAAAGUCUUUUUUAAACCACUUUUAUUAUUAUUUGACUGAAAAUUGAUAUAAAAAUUGAAAAAUUUUUUUUAAACAACUUUCAACAACGGAUCUCUUGGUUCUC